UCUGAGAUUAGAUCUCCCUUAUUGUUACACACUGGCCCUUUAAGUAUUCAUCUUUAGUGUGCCCUUCAAACGGAUUAGACCAAAGUUUGCAUUGAUCCUAAUCCAGAGUCUGCAUGUGUUUUACAUGCUGUGGAAGAACAAUUUGUACAGAUCAGUGGAUGUGUGUUAACACACACUUAAACCUGCAUGAAUAGUUUGAUAAGACUGUGAUAAGUUGUGAAUGUAAGUAAUAUUCGAUUUCUGCAUAUAGAUACCCCAAAAUGCUACAUACUGGACCUUUAAGUACUUUUUCCAUCACUGCAUGGUACUGGUGGACAUACAAACAUUACACAACAUACAAACAUCAAUGUUAUGGAACAAAAAGUAGAAUAUUUCGAUGUGAAAUGUAGCAGAAGAAAACAUAAAAAGUUUCCAAAACUCAAAAUCCUCAAAUUACAGUAAACACAUUACUGUGGAGGGAUUUAUUUCAAAGAAUCACUGCACCAACUGGUUUUUACUGAUAUUCUUCUGUCUCUGGUUGUCUUGAAUGCAAAGAGUAAUUGUUUUUUUGGCUUCCAUUGCACAUUAUUGGGAAUGUGAAUAAAUAAACCUGCAAACUAAACUACAUUGACCUUGUUCGCCUGUUAAUUUUGGGGAAACACUGCCCUCUGCUGGAUAUUUGCCUUCCCUGCAGAUGAAUGAUGAAGAUAUUUGAUCACUAAUCUGUUCCAAAUUUAACAGGAAAAAUACACAAAUCUACUACAAUCCAUGCAUUCAAGAUAAAUGAACAUAAAACUAAUAUAUUUGUUUUAAAUACAAGAGAAGACUUAUUUUUGUUUGUUGUGAUUUUGUGCACAACAAGGAGUUUCCUGGCAACAGGUGUGAGUAUCCAAAGGUGACAGACAAUGGAGGUGGCCGAGGUAAAGGCUUUCAAACACUUUUAAAAGCCCAGAUUACAAAGGGCACAUGAUUGUAGCUUUUGUCAAAUUUUAUCUGUAUUUUCUUCUUCUCUCAACCUGAAUACAGGACAUAAAGAAGUCUCUUCAGAAGUCUGGAAUAAGGAGGGACGUUGAUGUUUGCCAACUCAGCGUUGCCACAAAAAAACUCACCAGCGUCCCUGACUUAUCAAGAUUUCACUUCCUGAGGAAGUUGUGGCUGAACAACAACAAGAUCAGAGAGCUCAGCUGCCGUUCCCUCAACUGCUGCUUGACUGAACUUUACCUCCACAACAACAACAUCAAGUCUAUUUCUGGGUCCCUAAACCAUCUGACCUGCCUCCGACUUCUGUUUCUCCACAACAACCAGAUCAGAGGGCUGGAGGACACAUUGCAUGAGCUCAGGAGGAUGCAGCAGCUCCAAACUGCAAGUGAGUGAUGAAACUCAUAAAUCUUGAGCCUCUGACAGUCUGUUUAUGCUUUAAACAGCCAACAAGUCCACUGAUAUCUACAAGAUUACAGCAGCGUGAGUGUAUGUCUGUAAUCUGUUGGAUACUUUUUAAUAAUGAGGGCUUCUUUGCAGCUUUUUUCCUCAAUCCCAUCUCCCAUGAACCCGGUUAUCGCCACCAUGUGAUCCACUGUUUGCCUUCUAUCCAGGUUUUAGAUAGAAAAGGUAAGAUCUCUGGGACAUACUUUAUUGACCUGCAAAGCCCCAGGCCUGUCACAAUCUACUACUUGUGUUGUGUGUGGCUUGUAUUCUGUUCCAUUUGUCUGUAUCUGCUGUGCCGUCAGAGGUGAAGUCAGCGGAGAGGAGGAGGUCCUUCCAGAUGUGCAGCCAGGAGCGUCACCGUGUCCUCCAGUCUGUGGCCUUCUGCAGACGGGCAAUACAGUCCUCAAGCUGAGACGAUGUUUGUUUCCAGUCGUAAUACAGUGCAAAGAUGUGUUUGUAAUGUAUUAGUGGCCUCAAACAUGCUUCAUAAUGAUCAGUCAAAACAUAUUACACUGCAUUUUAUCGUCCUGCUUACUCGGGGAAUCUACAUAAAGGGGAACUCCACCAAUUUGACACAUCUAAGUUUGUUUACAGGUGUUGCGGAAGUAUCGCUGCAUGUGCAAAACGUUGUAUUAAGCCUUUUGUGGCUCCAGAGGGAGCUCCGUGAAGUCUGAUAAACUUCAGUUGGGUUUGAAGGCAACAAACUUGAAAGAUUGAAAAAUCUGGGGGUGUGUAGUUAGAAAGAAGUGAGUUUACCAGACCUCUAAAGCCCGCUAUUCAUCUCUGCUUGAGGCCAGCUGCUCAAGACUACAUUAGCCGCUACUAGCAUAGGACACACAAAUAUCCGACUGAACUGUCAGUGGUCAAGUUGCGUUGAGGGAAAUGUAGGCAAGUUUUGACGAAGGAGAAGAAUGCAUGGUAUAAAUAUACUAUUCUCUGAUUCUGCUGCUUUGUAAACUGACUUAAUUGUUAUUAGAAACACACACUGUGAGGUGUGCAGGGAGAAACAUGAGGCAAAGAUACUGCGUGAGGUGAAAAAGACAGGUGCAUGCCAGUGUUCUUAAAAAAUAAAUUAAAAAAAGGGAAGUUCCUGUAGUUCGUAUGUAAAUUGUCCAUAAAUCAUAAAUUAGAAAUAAUAAUAAAAAAAAGAAGCUCCCUUUAACAGACCUUGCCUGAGAAUCUUCACGUUUUUAAGUUUUCUUCAGUAUCAAACUAAUCCAGUGAUAGUUGUCUGUAUAUCUAUGGGUACAUUGCAAACAGGAACUGCUAACAGCUACUUCGGCGUACUUUUAAUGGUGCCAAUGUGUCAAAAUGAAAACAAAUAUCAGCUAAAAACAGGGCUCAAGUUGAAACCCACAGCUAACUCACUGACUGCAUGGCAAUAUUAUACUUCCUGUUUACAUCCCCCCUAAAUAAUAGGAA